UUAAUAUCUUCCUGUAUUUUUGAAAAAAAAAAUUAUUUCACAAUACUAACAUUUGGUAUAGAUGAAAAAGUAAUGUAAAACAUAAAAACAAAUGCUAACAAAAAAUACUAAGACAUUUGAUAUACAUUUGUUAUAAUACUAGAUAUAUGUCCAAUAAAACAAACUCGCGCUUAAUAAUAAAAUUGACAAAGAAUACAAACCCGCGCUUUGAAAGCGCGGGUCAAAAUCUAGUUUUUCUAUUAUAAAUAUAACAUAAAAGAUUAAAAUGCCCCAAAAAAAUUAAAGAAGAAAAAAACUUUUAUACCCUUUAAAUUAACUAAUCUAAACUUAUGAAUUAGAUUUAUAAUUAAAAAUUCAUCUUAGAAAAUAUGAAUAAUACUUUUAAAUUUCAAGCAAAACUAUUUAGUACUUCAUUUUAACGUAAGAAACAAAGUACUAUUAAAACAAAACAAAAAACUCAAAACUAAGCAAAAAAAAAUGAAGCAUCAUUAGAGAUGAUUAUUAGAGGUGUUUUAUCAGAUUUAACUUACUGUUCUAAAAUAGUAGUUUUUGACAAUCUCUCGCAACUUUUAGACAUUGUUUAACUACUGUUUUGUCAGCAUCCACAAUCCACAUGUAACUAGAAAAGUUUCUAAAAAGAUAUUUC
rnacentral:lncRNA from 1 species